rnacentral:tRNA from 1 species
AUUUGGUUAGUUUAAUUAAAACGUUGAUUUGUGGAGUCAAAACUAUAUUUUUUGUAUACAAAAUU